rnacentral:rRNA from 1 species
GACGAACGCUGGCGGCGUGCUUAACACAUGCAAGUCGAACGGAAAGGCCCUGCUUGCAGGGUACUCGAGUGGCGAACGGGUGAGUAACACGUGGGUGAUCUGCCCUUCACUUCGGGAUAAGCCUGGGAAACUGGGUCUAAUACCGGAUAGGAGCCAUUUUUAGUGUGAUGGUUGGAAAGUUUUUUCGGUGUAGGAUGAGCUCGCGGCCUAUCAGCUUGUUGGUGGGGUAAUGGCCUACCAAGGCGGCGACGGGUAGCCGGCCUGAGAGGGUGGACGGCCACAUUGGGACUGAGAUACGGCCCAGACUCCUACGGGAGGCAGCAGUGGGGAAUAUUGCACAAUGGGCGCAAGCCUGAUGCAGCGACGCCGCGUGGGGGAUGACGGCCUUCGGGUUUUAAACUCCUUUCGCUAGGGACGAAGCUUUUGUGACGGUACCUAGAGAAGAAGCACCGGCUAACUACGUG